AAUCCAUGCAACGGACAUUUCCAAAUUAAAUCUUUAAAUCGUUCCUAAGCUUCAUAUAGCAUUUCAUCCUCAAAUUUUUGAAGAGAUGUGAUGUCAUUUCUAAGCUU
rfam:Gossypium arboreum cultivar AKA8401 contig_31239_1, whole genome shotgun sequence.